UCACAUAUCUUAUCUGGAUUUGCGAGUUCCAAUCGAAUCGAUUUAUUUCCCGUCGUCCAAUUUUUUUUAUCAGUCAGCUCGAGUUGGCCAACAACCACCGGUGGUUGGCGUCAGCUUUCCACCCACCUCCGAAACCGAAACGACUUUGGCAACCUUUCGUGGGUUUGAUUAGUCAGAGUAACAUCAAAUGUGCGAACGGGCAGUAGGAUGACGGAUUGUAGCGAAGGCAAUGGAAAAACAACCCCCCUUUAGGGUAUAGGCAAUGAGGCCAUGGGCGUAGCCAAAAAGGGUCGAUGUUAAAUAAAAUCUUAAAUUAACUGCUUCGAAA